ACCCUGCUGGCUAAGUUGUUAGAGCGUGUGACUCUUGAUCUCGGGGUGGUGAGUUCAAGUCCCAUGUUGGGUA
rnacentral:tRNA from 1 species